GCGGACGUGGUGCACGGUGCAUUGCUGCAGUGCGUCGUCAGGAGUACGAAUGAAAGUUGAGCAGCUGUCGGGGUUCGAAUCCCCGUGUCCGCG